rnacentral:lncRNA from 1 species
GUAGGGAGAGUGAAAGCAUUCUCUGCAGGGGGUGUAAUCCAGCUCAUUUAAUCAAUGUAGCUUUACUCCGAUUUCUUACCUUUAGAGUUUAAGGAACUAAAAAGCAAGACCCUCUGGUGAUUCUUCCACUGUGCCUUCUUUCUGGCCUCUUGGAUUCAGCUGGGGCAUUUGUCGAUUGAUUUUAUUUAAGGCACUGUUCUUGACUUGCUUCUUUUGCUAACAUCCCUCUGUUUUCAAUCUUCACCGAACAUCCUUUAUGUCUUACUAAGGAAUUCAGCAUUUCCUGCCUAAACCAUUGUAAAAGUCAUAUUUGUGGAUAUUUUGUGAUAUGAGAAUAUCCAUACAAUUUACCUUCCCUGGUAAGGUCAAAAUUCUCUUCUUAAGAGUUAAUCAUAGGUGAGCAAUCCCCAAAAGGUAAUCACCCAAAAUUUAAAAAUAAAGCAAGAGAAUAUAAAGCCAAAUAAGAUAUCUCUGAUAUUAUUUUCCAACUGUGUACAGGAUCUUAUUGUUGGGCAUUAAGGUCCUUCUAAGCUUGCCCUAACUUAUCUUUCUUAGAUAUUUACGUGGAUAAUAUCCUCUAUGUUCUAGCCAUGCACUAGCUCUAAACUUUCCUCAAAAUAUUAUGUUAGUUUCUCUGCUGGGAGAAAAUUCAGGGAGGCUGAAGUGCAGACAUUCAGUUAGUUAGACAACUGUAGCUCAGUCACUGUCUGGCUGAGCUUCCCACUCUUGGCAGCUGACUUAAUGUUUCUUCACUCUUUACAGAUGGAUAAAAAUUGCAAAUUGGCCAAGAUGGAGUGUCCUAUCUAUACCACCCAUCACACAGAACAUUGAAAUGCAUCUAUAUUAGUGAUUGCUGAGGACAAGAAAACAAACUGAAGAAAAAGAACCUCCAGGGAGACAAGGAGGCAAGCAUUUGUGGGAGAAGAUACAGCUGAUGACAAGAAGUUUGCUAAAUUUCGAGUAAAUAAUUGAGGCCAAGGGUGGGCAAGUGUGAGAGUAUAGAAACCCUCAGCACCCUUUUCUCAUGGACCUCUUGAGAAAUAUGGGAACACAGCGAGACGCAGAAGCAAACUUCCUUUGUGGUGAAAGUGUAAGGGAGAGAACAGUGGUGCCCACAGGCAAAGCUUCACUAAAGUCCUUCACUCCUAUCGCUCCUAUGGUACAAAACAAAAAGCUGGUCCAGGAAGGCUUGCAAAGCUGUUCUUCCCAUGGAAAAUCUAUGGCAGUUGUGGUAAGGGAAGACUGAGGGAGGGAGUCAGAGAGAGGAAGAAAAUAAGGAAGAAGUCUACUUUUGGAGAAAGACAAGAAGCAUCCAGAUUGUUAGACAUUCUUCUGGCCAGACCUACUGAGAAAAGGGUACUGCACCUACUUAAGACUGUGGUGAACCAAACAUUUCUUGGAAGAAAACAGCUUUUUCCCAUCUCUAGUACUUUUCAUUUCAACAAGAAUUUCAUAGAAAAGCAUCCUUUUGAAAGUAUGUUCCUGGCGCAACUGGCAAUAUAUCAUCUCUAUAUUCAAUAUAUAAUUCAAGAUAAAAUCAAAUAUAGGUCAGGAUGAUUAUUUUUGAAAUGUAUACCAAUCAAUGUAUUGGAAUAAAGACAUAACUUCUACCUUUGAUAACCUGGAAAUAUUUUUUGAGACACAUAGUUUUGGAUGUCAAAGGAAGAGAAAAAAUGUUAGAGGCAGCUAUGAGGAUGCGACAAGGAAUCCAGGCCAAGUUUUCAGGCAGGAAUAUGAAAGGGGUGAUUAACGAAUCAUGAGCAGACCGACUUGACUAACCCAUAAAGGUGAUGGCUACUUAACAGGCCUGGAAGCAGAUGAGGUGUAGUCUCAAACCAGCUUAAGUAUUGGGGGGCGAUGGGGACAAUAUUGAGCACAUACUUAUUAAAUAAUAGGAAAGUGUCAGUUAUGCCUUUGGUGGCCAGGGCAAAAAGAGAUUGGCAACAGGGGGAUUUUCAUGAAGCUCUUCUACAAAUGCUAUCUGUGGGUUUGUUCAAAGCUUGAGCUCAAACAAGGUCAUAGAUGUAGAAAGGAGCGCACCUGUGUAAGGGGGAUCUACUGGAGCAUUCAUGCCCCAACCUAACAGUGUGCAAAACACAUUGUGCACUCUCCACAAGAACAGUGACAUGUUUGAAGAAUACUCAUUCAUUUUUUAAAUAUAUUGAUUAUCCUUCAGAGUCACAGUUAGGAAAAUGUAUGCAGUCUUAAUCUUGAGAUCUAAAGACCAGAAGAGUAAAUGCAAAUUUUACUAACGCAAUAUAUUUUGCCAUAAAAUUUACCAUAAAAUGAUCAUUCCACACUCUUCAUCUCAUGUGGAUCAUAUAAGCCAACAUGUUUUUAUCAAAACUCCCAUUAUUAUAUUAUUAUUGACAUUAUUAGCACAAAAAACAGGAUUUGAAAUGGAAAAUAAUAGCACCAAAUGUAUGUAUUCAAAUAAUAUCAUUUACACAGGUAUAGCCAACAGAGGAUGAGAUUAAAGAUCCAUGACAAAAUAAAGUGAAGAAAACAGAAUUAAGAAAUCCUGAUGUACAUAAAGUUAGUGUCUUCUCAAGUUUCUAAGAGAGUUCACUCUGAAAAGCCUGCAAAUGCAAAGGAGCAUUGUAAAGAUUGCAGUGAUGUGGGAUCUCUCAAAGAUACCCAGCUGUAUUAGGGUUCUCCUGCGAAAAUGGAAGAUGCAUACAUAUAAAAUGAGAUUUGGCUCACCUAAUUAUGGAGGCCCAGAAGUCCCACAGCCUGCUUUUUGCAAUCUUGGGAGAAGCAGCAAAACAGAAGGGUAAUUCAGUUUUAGUCUAAAGACCUGAGAAUGGGGGUAAGGUUUAUUUGUGUAAGUCAUAGAGUCCAAAAGCCAGAGAACAAGGAACAGCGAUAUCAGAGGGCAGGAGAAGAUGGAUGUCUCAGCUCAAAAAGAGAGCGCAAACUUGCCCCUCCUUUACAUGUUUGUUCUAUUCUGGCUCAUAAUAGAUUAGUUAAUGUUUGCCAUCAUUGGUGAAGGCAAUCUUCUUCACUCAGUCUUCAAAUACAAAUGCUAAUACCUCCCAGAAAUGCCCUCACAGAUACAUCCAGAGGUAAUAUUUUACCUGCUCUCUGGAUAUCCCUUAGCCCAGUCAAGUGGACACAUACAAUUAGCCAUCAAUGCCAUCUAUGGAACCAAAAUAGAAAUCAGUACGGAAAGAUCAGUGUGAGGCCAUCAGCUGCAAUAAGAAGGGGUAAAAGUCAUAUGCCAAAUGUCCCGGCCCCCAAACUAUGACCAAUGACGCCCUUCUCUCGAGUUGAUCAUCUACAAUAUUAGACAAUGUGGUCAUGAAUAAUAAUUUACUUGUAACAUUUUUAAAUGAAGCUAAUAUGAGAAAAUGGCCAUAAGGAUGUGAUGCACUGUUAACUCUGACAGAAUUAUAAGUUAUUUUACACCUCAAACUAGUAGCUUCUUUGUCUGUUAAUAACAUUUUACCUACUGGACACUGACAUCAUCCAGGAAUUCUUAAUUCACAUUCCAAAUCUUUUAGUAGUGACUUUCAAGUAGCAGGGUUUGUCAUGG